UACGUAGGGGGCAAGCGUUAUCCGGAUUUACUGGGUGUAAAGGGAGCGCAGACGGCAGUGCAAGUCUGGAGUGAAAGCCCGGGGCCCAACCCCGGAACUGCUCUGGAAACUGUGCGGCUAGAGUACUGGAGGGGCAGGCGGAAUUCCUAGUGUAGCGGUGAAAUGCAUAGAUAUCACGCAGAACCCCGAUUGCGAAGGCAGCAUACCGGUGCACAACUGACGCUCAGGCACGAAAGCGUGGGUAUCGAACAGG
rnacentral:rRNA from 1 species